rnacentral:piRNA from 6 species
UCCAAUGGGGUUUCCCCGCACAGGU